CCCCUCUCAGGUCACACCUGGAGAGUUCCCAGUACUCUACCAGUCUCGACUACAGGAGGGAGAGUCAGGCAGAGGCAUAUCCAUUCCAUUCCUAGCUCGGGCAGUGGCUAACGAGUGGAAGGCAAUCUGCUACAAAU
rnacentral:snoRNA from 1 species